ACGUGGAGCGGCACGUGCUGCAGACGCAGUGUCGGCGCCUGGAGGCCCAGCACUACAGCCUGAGCCUCACGGCCGAGCAGCUCUCGCACAGCAUGGCGGAGCUGCGGAGCCAGAAGCAGAAGGUGGUGUCGGAGCGGGAGCGGCUGCAGGCCGAGCUGGAUCACCUGCGGAAGUGCCUUGCCUUGCCGGCGAUGCAGUGGGCGAGGGGCUAUUUCAAGGGGUAUCCCAGGUGACGCUCCUUGGGCCAGGCCGAACCCAUAGUCUAGAAAUAAUAAUCUAUUUUAUUACCUUGAAUAUUUAAUAUUUUUCACUGGGAGGUUUGAAGCUAAAAAAAUAAAAUCGAAAAAAAAA